rnacentral:rRNA from 1 species
GAUGAACGCUGGCGGCGUGCCUAAUACAUGCAAGUCGAGCGAACAGACGAGGAGCUUGCUCCUCUGACGUUAGCGGCGGACGGGUGAGUAACACGUGGAUAACCUACCUAUAAGACUGGGAUAACUUCGGGAAACCGGAGCUAAUACCGGAUAAUAUAUCGAACCGCAUGGUUCAAUAGUGAAAGAUGGUUUUGCUGUCACUUAUAGAUGGAUCCGCGCCGCAUUAGCUAGUUGGUAAGGUAACGGCUUACCAAGGCAACGAUGCGUAGCCGACCUGAGAGGGUGAUCGGCCACACUGGAACUGAGACACGGUCCAGACUCCUACGGGAGGCAGCAGUAGGGAAUCUUCCGCAAUGGGCGAAAGCUUGACGGAGCAACGCCGCGUGAGUGAUGAAGGUCUUCGGAUCGUAAAACUCUGUUAUUAGGGAAGAACAAAUGUGUAAGUAACUAUGCACGUCUUGACGGUACCUAAUCAGAAAGCCACGGCUAACUACGUG